rnacentral:lncRNA from 1 species
GGAUCAAUGAUGAAUGUCUGUGAGCAUUCUUAGAGUCAUGAAUCAUGACGACAAAUUUAAUUCUGAGAUCAACAUCAUAAAGUAUCCAGUGACAGCUAUAAGAAGUAGUCUUCUUUUAUAAGUCAGUAAAUGUAAAUAAAAAUUGACUAGGAAGUCAUUUAAUCAAAAGGCAGCUCACAAAGAAGACUACAUAUAUGUAUAUAUGUAUAUAUGUAAGAAGAAAGUGUGACAGAGUAAUGACCAUGGAGGUGAGGGAUAAGAUGAAAUGAGCAGAAGCAGGCAGAAUACAUAGAUAAGCGAACGGAACAUCAAUCUCUUUAUAACCUCUUCUGUCUAUACUUCAAGAAUGGAUAUCCUGCAAGUCGGCUUCGUAGAGUCUCCCUUGAAAGUGGACCUCAUGAUCUAGCCUUUAUGUCCGUGGAUUGACACUGUGAUGGAUUCCCCCCAAGUUCAUUUAGAUAUUCUCUCUUAUUCAUAAAUGUCACGGUCAGCUCUGUUCUUAUAGAUACCAGAAUGGAUACCCCAAGAAUGGAUACCCCUAAGCUGAUGUAUAUACACCCUUCCUCGGUUGUGAGAUUCCUGCUCUGGUGGUUGUAGUCAUAAGAUAUACAUCGUUGCGUACACCUUGGUUGUGGGCACGCACACUACUGUUGAAUUACCACCUUGUCCAAGUGGAUGGAUGCCCUCAAUGGGAUUGGCACUUUCUCCAUUGCUCCUGCACUCUGUUAUCAGCACUUCGGGUUCAUAAUGUACACACAGCAAUGGAUUUUCUGCAGCUGAUUUUCUAUAUUCUGUUUUCUUCGGAACAGAUGCCUUCCUCACUGGUCACCAGGUUCAAGGUCCCUCAUAUGUGUCAGGUGCAUAGUCACCAACAAAGGCCAACUUCACAUCAAUGGGUGGAUCGUACCUCGGCCUAAGCUCCAGGAUUGAUUGUGCUGUUAGAGUCACAGCUACAACCGGCUCAGGGAACCCAGUGGAAGAGGAGGUGGAGUGUGAGAGCCAAUUGGAAUGGAAGACAGUGAGGAAACAAGGCCUUCGAGACACAAGAGGACUGCUGAGCUCACAAAGACUGAGGCAGCACCCUCAGGACCUGCACAGGUCUAAGCUUGAUGCGAUCUGAGUACUGAGAGGGCAACUGGACACAAUUCUAUAUUGAUAACCCAGAAGCUUUCUCCAGUUGAUAAACUCUUUCAAAGGAAAAACUUGUUUUCUACCAUGGAGUGACACUGGAUAUAGAAACUACCGUUAACAGCAGACUCCAUGGCUCAGACUUCCAAUACAAUAUGAACUCAGUUGCAAUUUUUUGCAAGGUUUUUCGACUCAUAGUUCUUUGUCUGGGUACUUUUUCACCCUACAGAGAAUUUCUGUAUAUAUUAUCGUUUCUGAUUCUAGUGUUUUGAAUUUUCGCUGGGUCUAAAUAUCUCUGUCUCAGUGUCAGUAUGUGUUUCUCAUGAUUUUUCUUUGCUUCUCUUUUUCCUAUUCUUUGCUUGUAUUCCCUGGUUUGUGUUUGAGUGUCUGGGAACUCUGAGGGUCUGGUUGGUGAUAUUGUUGUUCUUCCUAUGGGGUUGAAAACCCCUUCAGCUCCUUCAGCCUUUCACUAAGUCCUCCAUUAUUAUGAUUCCUAUGCUCAGUCCAGUGGUUGGAUGUGAGCCCCCCCCCCCCUCUGCAUUUGUCAGGCUCCGGCAGAGCCUCUAAGGAGAUAGCUAUAUUAGGCUCUUGUCAGCUUUGUUUGUUUUUAUUCUGUCUUCUCUAUACUGUUUAUUUUAGAUAACUGUGUUUAUUCUAAUGUAUGAAUGAAUAAAUGGGUGUGUGUUUGGGUGGGUGGGGAAUUGGGGAGGGUGGGGGUGGAUGUGGGAGGGGAAACUGUAACACAAAUACAUUGUAUAAAAGUACAUUUUAAUAAAUGUAUUUCUUCUAUGACUAAAAAAA